UGAAGUAAAUUGUCCAAGAUCCCAGAACACUUGGCUUCACGCCAAGUACCGCUGCCUUUCAUAUUCCAGUUGAAAGUUUCCUUAUUUGAGACAAGAAGAGGCAGGCAAUCUGGGUUUUCCAGAUGGGAAAAUUCAUGACCAAGAAAGGUGAUUUCUCUGGAAGACUGAGGAACCACGUGAUGCAGGGGUGUGGGUGGCAGUGAGAGGUUAGGCCGUAUUCAAACUUUUCUAGAGUCUCUGCUCUAGUGAGGGCAAACCGUGGACCCUCACCAAGCCACUUCCUUGUCUAAUACUCCAUUUUCUCCCUCAGCUGACUAGGAGACUCAUGAGGUGAUCAGCCUGUCUUUACCAGCCCCCAUCAGAGUGGAACGUGCGCUAAAGCCUCCAUUUUCCUGAGCAUUCACGCUGAGCACAGGAACAGGAGAUAAUAAAUCAUCCCUCCCUACCCAGAAUUCCUCACUCUCCAAGGAGCUGGGAAACAUGAGCCCGCCCAGGGGACCCAGGCCAGUAAGAGACUCACUCCCUGGCUGCCUGGCUCAUUACAUACAUCCUGAGUUGGGAAGCCCUGGGGAGCCCCUUUCAGGAGAUGAGGCUCUUCCUCCUAAGAGUUCUAUUGUUAAAGUCUGAGAAUUUGGGAAUAAUCUACUAGGACAGCCAAUUUCGAGCCGGCAAAAGGUUACUUUAUUCAAAAGCUGAUAUAUCCAGGAGACUACUGGGUUCAAGAUCCAAAAUGUGAAUCAGAGGCAGAAUAGAACAAAUUUUAAAAAAAAAAAAAUUAAAUUAAAAAAAAAAAAACACAGAUUAGGUGGGGGUAGAAGUAGGUUUAUCCAAUCAGGUUCAAGCAUGCAUUGGGUGGAUCAUGCCUGAUAUUCUACGUGGUUUUCUACAUACCAAACACCUCAGGUGGUUUACUUGAUAGCUUGGCCUGGAUUGUAUCAGAAUUCAUUGGCAGCUGUGGUCUUGGCCACAUCUGGGAGCCAAACCAAUGAAGCAUAGAGUGGGAUAUUGUGACUAAGACAUAUCUGGAACAUUUGAACCAGAAGCUCUUUCUGGGGAUUUAGCUUAGUACAAAAUGGCGACUAUAGACAAGAUGGAAUCUCUGUAGCUAAAGAGGCACCCAACGCCACCCCCCUUCUUGUAACUCAUCAAACCUUUGGUGUCACAGCUCUUGGUCAGUAUAUAAGGCAUCAUAUUGUGUCCUUAGAACUAUGAGCUUAACAACAUUUACCCUAUCUUGCACAAAGCAGGAAAUACAAUAUAUUAGGCAACAGACACAUAGCAUCAUCAACAGAAUAACUACCAGAGGACCUAUCAACCCAGUUACCAAACCUAUGCUCCCCUUAACUAUUCCAAUAUGACCAGCAUAAAGACAGCAUUGUUCCCCUACAGAGGUAUUGGGUAGCUUCUGGAUGAAGGCCUCUCGUUGCAUAAAGAGUAGGUCAAGGACUCUCCUGUUUUAUUAGAUAAUUUCUGCCAGGGAGGAGUCUAGGGAGGAGGUCAGGUGGUUGAGGGAUUUUCCAAGGCAGCCAAGUCCCUGUCUGGUAAUUUUGGUCACUGAUAAUAAGGGUCACUGUCCGGAUUCCAACACUGCCAGUUAUUCUGAGAAUCAUGAGCAUGGGGAUCAGAAUGCGGAUUGCCCUGCCAUAGUUUUCUGACCAAAGUCCUCUCCAGGGCUUGGGGCAGGAUUAUGAGGUUGUCAGCUGCUAUGAACUGCUGUACUUUGUUGAUGGAGGUAUUGGGUAGCUUCUGGAUGAAGACAUUGCCCUCAGGUUAAAGGCCUACCUUUUCUCAAUCCCCUUGCUACCAGAAUAGUCAUAUGACUACAUACCAGUCAAUGGAAUAUGGAUGGAGUAAUGGACCCCCAAAUUGUAUCCUGAGAAGAAAGGGAGCAGCCUCUACAUUCCCUGCCCUUUCCCCGCUCAUCUGAACGUAAGGCAGAGACUUGGCAAUCCACAUUUGACCUUGCCGACCCCCACAGACCUACAGUAGAGCAGCAAGGUGGAAGGACCCCAGAACCUGACAUCAGACAGCUGCCAGGCCAACCCUAGACUGUUCCCCUCCAGAUUGUUAUAUGAGGAAGAAAUUAGAUUCUCUCUCGCUUAAGCCAUGAUCAUCUGAUUCCCUGCAAUAGCAGUCAACCUGUAACCCAAUAGAAUCUGGAAUUACCAUA